rnacentral:rRNA from 1 species
GGGCCCGCACAAGCGGUGGAGCAUGUGGUUUAAUUCGAUGCAACGCGAAGAACCUUACCAGGGUUUGACAUAGUACGAAGUUUUUUGAAAAAAAACCACCUUCGGGAACGUACAUACAGGUGGUGCAUGGCUGUCGUCAGCUCGUGUCGUGAGAUGUUGGGUUAAGUCCCGCAACGAGCGUAACCCUUGUUUUUAGUUGCCUUUCGAGGAUAUUUAGAAAGACUGCCGAUUAUAAAUCGGAGGAAGGUAAGGACGACGUCAAGUCAUCAUGCCCCUUACACUCUGGGCUACACACGUGCUACAAUGGCCGGUACAGAGAGCAGCCACUACGCGAGUAGGCGCG